rnacentral:rRNA from 1 species
GUAAUUGCAUUUAAGGGCAGAUGGUGGAUGCCUUGGGAUAUCAAGACGAUGAAGGACGUGGCGUGACUGCGAUAAGCCUCGGGGAGGUGUCUAGCAACCGUUAAUCCGAGGAUUUCCGAAUGGGGAAACCUAAUCCUGUGUGAACAGGAUUGUCUCGCGCAAGCGAGUCGUGUACCUGGGGAAGUGAAUCAUCUCAGUACCCAGAGGAAAAGAAAUAUAUUCCCUUAGUAGCGGCGAGCGAAAAGGGAGGAGUCUAAACCUUUUAUCGCAAGAUAAGGGGGGUUGCAAGGGAAUAGCGUCGGAGCCUUACCCCAAGAAAGCAGUAUCGAUCGAUUGUUGGGGUAAAGCAUCUGAGGGAGAGCACAAGUUGGAGAUUGGUUAGGAGAACGAGUCUGGAAAGACCGGCGAAACAGGGUAAAAGCCCCGUAUCCGAAAACCUCUUCAUGCUCCUUGCUAUUUUACUUAAGUACCUUGGGGAAAGAACGCCCCGUGGGAAACAGGCCGUACUAACGGCCAAGGCUAAAUACUUGAUAUCACCGAUAGUGAACCAGUACCGUGAGGGAAAGGUGAAAAGUAGGGGGGUGACCCCGAUGAAAUAGAAUCUGAAACCAUUUUGCCCACAAGGAGUCGGAGCUCUGCCGCAAGGCGGAGUGACGGCGUAUUUCUUGCUAAACGAGCCAACGAGUUUACGUAUAUUGCAUGUCUAAGGGCGUUUGACGUCCGUAGGCGUAGGGAAACCGAGUGAGAAAUGCGCGUUUAUUGCAGUGUGCGUAAGACCCGAAGCCAAGCGAGCUUGCCAUGACCAGGGUGAAGUCCCGAGAAAUCGGGGCGGAGGCCCGAACCCGUGAGUUGUUCAACCCUCUGGGAUGAGUUGUGGCAAGAAGUGAAAAGCUAAUCGAGCUUGGUCAUAGCUGGUUCUCCCCGAAAUAGCUUUAGGGCUAGCGUCCGCUGUGAGUCUUGGCGGUAGAGCACUGAAAAGAAUAUUUUGGCGCAAGCCAGAUAUUCUUAUCAAACUUCGAAUGCCAGGAUUUUAAAGGCGGGCAGUCAGAACAUGGGCGCUAAGGUCCAUUGUUCCUAUGGGAAACAGCCCGAACCUUCAUCUAAGGUCCCUAAAUUAAGCUAAGUGCAAAUUGAAGAGGAAGUGGAAUUCCUUUGAUAGCUAGGAGGUUAGCUUAGAAGCAGCUAUCCUUUAAAAAGUGCGUAACAGCUUACUAGCUAAGGAGUUCUGCGCCGAAAAUCUAUAGGGGCUUAAGCUUAAUACCGAAGAUAAGGAUUCUUCGCCUUUUGGGCGAGGAGUGGUAGGGGAGCGUCCUCAUUGCAGUGAAGCCGGAACGUAAGUGACGGUGGAGCGAUGAGGAGUGAGACUGUUGGCAUGAGUAACCGCAAUGCAGAUGAAAGCUCUGCACACCGAAAACCCAAGGUUUCCUUGGCAACGAUAAUCGACCAAGGGUGAGGCGGACCUUAGGAAGUGCCGUAGGGUACUUUUGAUGGACAGCAGGUUAAUAUCCCUGCCCUUCCGUCCAUUCCAACGCAGUGACGCAGAGAAAGCGUCUUGAAGGAUUAUUGGAUUUCCUUACCUCGACGCAAGUCGGGGAUUCAAGACAAAUUUUUUGCCCAGAAAAGCUGCGAAGGAUUAUGUGGACGGGAUCCGUACCGCAAAACUGACACAGGUGGGUUGGCGCAAGAAUGCCAAGGUGAACGGGUGAAAGCUCCUGAAGGAACUAAGCAAAAAAGCGAUCGUAAGUUCGCGAUAAGAUCUGCCCAUGCCAUAGCUGGCAUGGGCCGCAGCGACUGUAUCCCUAGCGACUGUUUACCAAAAACACAGGUCCGUGCUUAACUCGAAAGAGGAUGUAUACGGGCCGACACCUGACCAGUGCUGGAGUGUUAAAUCUGGGGGUUCUUGCCGCAAGGUGAGAGCUCACCGGCCUAAGCCCCAGUGAACGUCCGCGGUAACUAUAACCGUGUUAAAGUAGCGUAGCCCCUUGCCAGGUAAGUUCUGGCCCGCAUGAAAGGUGUCACGACUUGGGAACUGUCUCCAGGAGUUGCCCGGUGAAAAUGCAAUACCGGUGAAGAUGCCGGUU